rnacentral:rRNA from 1 species
CAGCAGCCGCGGUAACACGAACCGUGCGAACGUUAUUCGGAAUCACUGGGCUUAAAGCGCGUGUAGGCGGGCCGCCACGUCGGCUGCUGAAAUCCCCCGGCUCAACCGGGGAAGUGGCACCGAUACGAGCGGCCUCGAGGGGGGUAGGGGGCACUGGAACUUCCGGUGGAGCGGUGAAAUGCGUUGAGAUCGGAAGGAACGCCCGUGGCGAAAGCGAGUGCCUGGACCCUUUCUGACGCUGAUACGCGAAAGCCAGGGGAGCGAACGGGAUUAGAUACCCCAGUAGUCCCUGUCUCUUAUU